CUCUAUGGUCGGCGCCUCCUUCUUGGCCUAGCAUAGGCGCCUCAGCAGCGAAUGCGGCUUGAGCCUCAGCAUUCCGCCACAGGCCGUGGUUCAGCCGCCGCAGCUGGCGCGCGCCGUACAGCUGCCUCAGCUGCUCAAAGGACAUGUCCAGCAGCUGGCCCAGGUCCACACCGCGGUAGGUGAACUUGCGGAAGAUCCGCUGCUUCUUCUCCUCUACCUCUGCCAUCUUGCCGGAUCCUCUGAAAAUGAUUCCGGAAAUCAUCUUUCGGGAAUUUAUCUAAGAAGAACUUCUUAUGAGCAAAUAUCCUAAAAUUCAGAUUGUUAAAAUGACGUGAAGAAAAAAUGAACAGGAAACUGAUGCAGAGGCCACAAAGAAUAUUCAAACACAAAUUUUCCAUUUUCAAAAAAUGACACUGCUCCAGGACCCUGUGGAUAUGAGGCUGGAUAAUUGAUUCUCUACUUCCAACUUACUCAUGUGCAUUUGAUACCUCUAACAAAAGGAGUAAAUUUUUCACAAUUCAAUAUGACC
ensembl:lncRNA LINC03000 long intergenic non-protein coding RNA 3000